AUGGCGGACUGUAUACGUGUUCCUCUGCUCUUGCUUUUGAUGUGCAUCUUGUCGUAUGUGCAUCCAAUUCGAGGAGAUAACGCUUAUAACAACGUUAUCAUUAAACCGGGUGGUAAUGCGGAAAACUUGCAGAACCAAGCCGGCGGUCCGGGAGCGGCUGCCGGGAACCCGGGACCCGCUGACAGGAGCCCGGUGGCCGGGGCCUCGCCGCCCCGGAGGCGCUCUGCCGGCUGGAAGUUAGCUGAGGAGGCGGUGUGCAGAGAUGACCUGACCCGGCUGUGCCCGAAACACUCCUGGAACAACAACCUGGCUGUGCUGGAGUGUCUGCAGGAUAAGAAAGAGGAAACAGAGAUCGCCGCCGACUGCAACCAUCUGCUGUGGAACUACAAGCUGAACCUGACCACCGACCCCAAGUUCGAGUCUGUCGCCGUGGAAGUCUGCAAGUCCACCAUCGCUGAGAUUAAAGAGUGUGCGGCGGAGGAGCGAGGGAAGGGCUACCUGGUCUCCUGCCUGGUGGAUCACCGCGGCAACAUCAGCGAGUACCAGUGCAACCAGUACAUCACCAAGAUGACCAGCAUCAUCUUCAGCGACUACCGGCUCAUCUGCGGCUUCAUGGAUAAAUGCCGCGACGACAUCAACACGCUGCACUGCGGCAGCAUCAGCACCGGAGAGAAGGACAUCCACUCACAGGGCGAGGUGAUCGCCUGUCUGGAGAAAGGUUUGGUGCGGGAGGCCGAGGAGCAGCCGGGAGCGCACGCCAUCCAUGACGACUGCAAGAAGGCCAUCAUGAGAGUGGCCGAGCUGUCGUCUGACGACUUCCACCUGGACAGAUACCUGUACUUCUCCUGCCGCGACGACCGCGAGCGCUUCUGCGAGAACACUCCAGCCGGGGAGGGACGAGUUUAUAAAUGUCUGUUCAACCACAAGUUUGAGGAAGCCAUGUCUGAAAGGUGCCGCGAGGCCCUCACCACGCGGCAGAAGCUGAUCGCUCAGGACUACAAGGUGAGCUACUCGCUGGCCAAAGCCUGCAAGGCCGACCUGAGGAAGUACCGCUGCAGCAUGGACACCAACAUGCCCCGAGCCCGCGAGGCGCGCCUGUCCUACCUGCUGCUCUGCCUGGAGUCCGCCGUGCACAGAGGCCGGGUGGUGAGCGGCGAGUGUCAGGGCGAGAUGCUGGACUACCGGCGGAUGCUGAUGGAGGAUUUCUCUCUGAGUCCGGAGAUCGUGCUGCACUGCCGCAGCGAGAUCGAGGCCCACUGCUCGGGGCUGCACAGGAAGGGCCGCACGCUGCACUGCCUGAUGAGGGUGGGCCGCGGCGACAUGGGCGCCAUCGACACGCUCUGCCAGAAGGCUUUGCAGACUCUGAUCCAGGAGGCCGACCCCGGAGCCGACUACCGCAUCGACCGAGCGCUCAACGAGGCCUGCGAGUCCGUCAUCCAGACCGCCUGCAAGCACAUCCGCAACGGAGACCCCAUGAUCCUGUCGUGUCUGAUGGAGCAUCUGUACACUGAGAAGAUGGUGGAGGACUGCGAGCACAGACUGCUGGAGCUGCAGUACUUCAUCGCCAGAGACUGGAAGCUGGAUCCCAUCCUCUAUAAGAAAUGUCAGGGCGACGCGUCCCGGCUCUGCCACACACACGGCUGGAACGAGACCAACGACUCCAUCCCGCCCGGCGCCGUCUUCUCCUGCCUGUACCGCCACGCCUACCGCUCUGUGGAGCAGGGCCGCCGGCUGUCCCGGGACUGUAAGGUGGAGGUGCAGAGGAUCCUCCAUCAGAGGGCGCUGGACGUGAAGCUGGACCCUGAGCUGCAGAGACGCUGCAUGACCGACCUGGGCAAGUGGUGCAGCGAGAAGACCGAGGCCGGACAGGAGCUGGAGUGUCUGCAGGAUCACAUGGAGGAUCUGGUGACCAGCUGCAGAGACGUGGUGGGAAACCUGACCGAGCUGGAGUCCGAGGAUAUCCAGAUCGAGGCGCUGCUGAUGAGAGCGUGUGAACCCGUCAUCCAGGCCCACUGCCACGAGGUUGCAGAUAAUCAGAUUGAUACAGGUGACCUGAUGGAGUGUCUGGUUCAGAACAAACAUCAGAAGGAGAUGAAUGAGAAAUGUGCCGUGGGAGUGACACACUUCCAGCUGAUCCAGAUCAAAGAUUUCCGUUUCUCCUACAAGUUCAAGAUGGCGUGUAAGGAGGACGUCCUGAAGCUCUGCCCCAACAUCAAGAAGAAGGUGGACGUGGUGAUCUGCCUCAGCACCACGGUGAGGAACGACACGCUGCAGGACGCCAAGGAGCAGAGAGUCUCCGUCAAAUGCCGCAAACAGCUGCGGGUGGAGGAGCUGGAGAUGUCGGAGGACAUCCGGCUCGACCCCGACCUCUACGACUCCUGCAAGCAGGACAUCAACAGGCUGUGUCAGAACGUGGCCUUCGGCAACGCUCAGGUGACUGAGUGUCUGAAGGAGAACAAGCGUCAGCUGACUCAGCGUUGCCACCAGCGCGUCUUCAAGCUGCAGGAAGUGGAGAUGAUGGAUCCUGAGCUCGACUACCAGCUGAUGAGAGUCUGCAAGCACAUGAUCAGGCGGUUUUGCACAGAGGCAGACGGGAAGAACGUGCUCCAGUGUCUGAAACAGAACAAGAACAGUGAGCUGAUGGAUCCCAAAUGCAAACAAAUGAUCACCAAGAGACAGAUCACCCAGAACACAGACUACAGGCUGAACCCGGUGCUGAGGAAGUCGUGUAAAGCCGACAUCCCCAAGUUCUGCCAGUCCAUCCUGAACAAGGCGACGGGGGACAGCGAGCUGGAGGGCCAGGUCAUCUCCUGCCUCAAGCUGAAGUACGCCGACCAGCGGUUGUCUCCAGACUGUGAGGAUCAGAUCCGGGUCAUCCUGCAGGAGUCGGCGCUGGACUACAGGCUGGACCCUCAGCUGCAGAUCCACUGCACCCAGGAGAUCUCUCGGCUGUGUCCGGAGGAGGCGGCGGCUCAGGAGCAGACGGGGCAGGUGGAGGAGUGUCUGAAGGUCAACCUGCUCAAGAUCAAACAGGAAGGAUGCAAGAAGGAGGUGCUGAACAUGCUGAAGGAGAGCAAGGCCGACAUCUUCGUCGACCCCGUCCUGCACACCGCCUGCGCUCUCGACAUCAAACACCACUGUGCUGCCAUCCCACCCGGCCGGGGACGCCAGAUGUCCUGCCUGAUGGAGGCGCUGCAGGACAAACGAGUCCGCCUGCAGCCCGAGUGCAAGAAGAGACUGCAGGACCGCAUCGACAUGUGGAGCUACGCCGCCAAGAUCGCCCCGGCGGAGGGAUUCUCAGACCUGGCCAUGCAAGUGAUGACAUCACCGUCCAAGAACUACAUCCUGGCUGUGAUUGGCCUGGGGGUGGCGCUGCUCUUCCUGAUGGGGCUGCUGUGUGGGCGAAUCACCAAGCGCGUCACUCAGGAGCUGAAGGACAGGUAGACCCCGCCCACCCGGGGGUCAGGGGUCAGGACACGCCCACCAGAGAAACUAACCACCACCGAACGGCCCUCAGCUUGACACCCCCUCACCCUCACCCCCCGCCCCCCCGCCCCGGCCCCCUCCUCACCUCCUCGCCCUCCUCGCCGCCCUCUUCUCUUUUCUCUCAUCGGUGUUGGGACGUCCAUGUUGGAAUGACAUUACCCACAAUGCCCCAGGCUCCAUCGCCUGCCUCCCCUAAUGGGAAAGUGGGUUCGCUUAUUGAUUAUUGACUUUCCCUGCCUCUACAUUCGCCCCGCCUGCUCUCCGGGAGACCACGCCCACUGCUUCUUCUUCUUCUCCUCCUUCUUCUUCUGCUUCAGCCGUGAAAGGAAGUGCUUCUCCAGAGAGCGCCGGUUCUCCUGGAGUUUUAACCCUCGUUCCUCCCCGAUGUAGAUGGCAGUACUUCUUCGCUUGUUUGUGUCUUUUUGCCCCUCUGCUGAGGGGGGCGGGGGCGGGAGGGGGGGUGGUGUUAUUAGGGGUUUUGGGGUCAGAGGUCACAAGGGAGAGGUGAAAUUAUAUUUAGCGUUAAGUGUUGUAGGUGGGAUGGGGCGAGCUCGUCCAUAGAGCAUUUUAAUGACUCCAGUACUUUAAUGACUACAGAGUGUGUGUGUGUGUGUGUGUGUGUGUGUGUGUGUGUGUGUGGUGUGUGUGUGUGGUGUGUGUGUGAGAAUGAUCCAAACUGUCUUCUACCACAUGUUCUUAUACUUUGUUCCCCUGCGAGGGUUUCAGGGCCGUUUCGGUUCUCGGUCUGUCACAUUGCUGUCGUGUGUUAGUUAGAUUUUUGGCCGUGGGACUGCCAGGCGGGCGGAGCCAACCAGCCCUGCACCGAGCCACAGGGGGGAGGGGCCGACACACUCCAGCUCACUCGCUCGCUCACAGGAUGCUCAAUCUGACCCUCUCUCGCAGCCCCUCCAUCCCGAUUCCCACCCUCCACCCGUGCCAUAAACUCACCACGUCUACCUGCUGCUCCCGGAUCAGCCUCGCGGCGUCCCGGCAGGACGGGGCGCGUCUCCGCCCUGCGCGGCGCCGCGAGGCCGGCGGGUCAGGCCACAAACGGUUAAGCGUCACACUCGCCGUCUGGAAGCACCAGGAUACUAAACAAAAGGUUUUUCCGUCGCGCUGUGAUGACAUCACAGGCUGGGAGUAUUGAGCGUCACGGAGCCCGACGCCGCCCCGGUCGUCCCGCUUUGGCCGAAGCGGCUCGGCGUCCUGCCGUUUCCAAGGCGACGGUGCGGCGGAGCGGAGCGGCUGCUCGGUACAGACAGGCUGAGAGCAAUGCAAAACAAAACGUCAAGAAAUGAAACUAAAAAGAUGCUAGAUUAUUAUAGAGAUGUGAACAUUUUUGUUGAAAGAUGAUACUGGAAUCAUUGCACAUUUUUCGUUCAUUUUUUAUAUCUAUAAAUAUAUAUAUAUUGUUUUGUCAUAGCCUUAUUUAUUUGUUUACUAAUGGUCAAAGUUUGUGAGUCCUUUUUUUUUUUAUGAUUUGAAUGUUCUCUGGUUGCCUUUUCUCGCCGCAGGACAGCCCCCCCCCUCCUGCUGAGGGGAGGGGGGGUGGCCGCCGACGGGUCGGCCUCUUUUCUGCCGGACAUCAACCUGCAGCUGCUUUACGGCACGGCUGCUCACCGCACGCAUACGGAAGCCCAAACAGGCCAAAACACAUGAAAACACCUGUCAGUGCAUCUGCACAGAAAUGUCUGCAUGUCGGCGUGUUCGGCUUUUACUGGUAAAGGUCAAAGUGGACGACACACAGAGGGUCAGUGCACACGCUAAUGUUGAACACACAGAAAUGUUACAUGCACAACACGCCAACAUGUUGACAACACGCCAACAUGUUGACGACACACAGCUGUUACCCGCUUGUGUUGUUUUCCUGUUAAAACGUCGACAGCGUGCUGUCAGCAUGUCUGCAUGCAUCGUCAUGUUGACAACAUUGUUUACUCUCCACUGUCGUCUUCAUCGUCUCAGCUGACCGUUAAACUCUGCUGAGGCGGAUGAAUCUCACACACACACACACACUCACACACACACACACACUCUGUGGUCAGCACUGAGCUCACUGAGGCGCUGUCUGUCUGUCUGAGUUGCUGGAAAAGAGCCAAAUGUAAAUAUGGGUGCAGAGGACGUAGAGAGUCUGCACGCUGAAGGUGUGGCUUCUUUGUAUCGACUCGACGUGACGGCGCGUCAGUUUCCUGUUUUUGACCUGUUGGGCCUUCCACACGCAGCUGACAGCGAACGCCUCGCCGUCUGCUGCCUUUUAGAGACCGACCCCCGUCUGAGUUUGUGGAUUGUCUCUUGUUUCUGCUCGGUCGGUCUCUGCAGGUCUCUGCAGGUCUCUGCAGGUCUCUGCAGGUCUCUGCAGGUCGAUGCAGGUCUCUGCAGGCCUCUGCGGUCUCUGCAGGUCUCUGCGGUCUCUGCAGGUCUCUGCAGGUCUCUGCAGGUCUCUGCGGUCUCUGCAGGUCUCUGCAGGUCUCUGCGGUCUCUGCAGGUCUCUGCAGGUCUCUGCAGGUCUCUGCAGGUCUCUGCUGGUCUCUGCAGGUCUCUGCGGGUCUCUGCAGGUCUCUGCAGGUCUCUGCAGGUCUCUGCUGGUCUCUGCAGGUCGAUGCCGGGUGAUGAAAAGGUGGUCGACGUUUUGGUUUAGUCAUUCGACCAAAAACAAAAGGAUUUCCCGUCUUCACACUGAGAGCGGAGAGCUGCGGCGCUCGGCGUGAGGACAGGAAGCGGCGCUCGGUGUGAGGACAGGAAACGCCGCUGCCGUGUGAAUCUGCGUCGGCGAGCCGGAAUGACUUCACCUUGGUCUGAGCUCAUGAAUCAAAAUGUCUCCUCCAGUCUCCAGUUAUCAGUUCAAGCCGAACAUCCGUACACGUGUGCUACGCCGAGUGACUAGAUUCAUCGUACCAUACGGUUUUUUUUUGUUUGUUUGUUUGUUUUAUUUUGUUUUCUUUUGUUUUGUUUGUGUUUUAGUUUUUUGAGACUCGUCGCGGCUUCGCUUGUAAAUGAGACAUUCUGAAUCGCUGAACUGCCUUCGCUUCUCCAUCUAAUGUUGGUUUCUCAACGCGUGCCUAAUCACCGUCCCACCGAGGGAUCCCACUGUACAGAACAUCCCAUAAUAACCUGACCACUCCAGCACCGAGCAGAGGUGUGUGUGGGCUUGACUGUGUGUGUGUGUGUGUGUGUGUGUGUGUGUGUGUUUAAGUGUGUGUGUUGCCCACAGAGUGCGGCCUGCCGGUUUUUUCGCAGAACGCUGUGUGAUCUCGUCCUUCUCGUCCAUCGGUUCCCUGCUGUUCUUUUGUCCGGAGCGACCAGAACGAUGACUAGAACAUAUGAUUAAGAUUAUGAUGAAAAAAAAAAUGAGAAAAAUCUUUUUGUAAACGCUGUUUUUUGUGUCUGAAUCUAUGGAGUUUCAUGCCGCCGCUGUAUGACGGUGCUUUUCCCUGUCCGCUUCUCUCUCUCUCUUUUUUUUUUUGUUUUUUUUUUUUGUUUUUCCAUUUUGUUUCGUUCAUUUUGUUGUUCUGUACAGAUGAAAAUUGGACAGUUUGUUAAUAAUAAAGUCUGCAGGUUUCUA